GAUGAACGCUGGCGGCGUGCCUAAUACAUGCAAGUCGAGCGAACAGAUGAGGAGCUUGCUCCUCUGACGUUAGCGGCGGACGGGUGAGUAACACGUGGAUAACCUACCUAUAAGACUGGGAUAACUUCGGGAAACCGGAGCUAAUACCGGAUAAUAUAUUGAACCGCAUGGUUCAAUAGUGAAAGACGGUUUUGCUGUCCCUUAUAGAUAGAUCCUCGCCGCAUUAGCUAGUUGGUAAGGUAACGGCUUACCAAGGCGACGAUGCGUAGCCGACCUGAGAGGGUGAUCGGCCACACUGGAACUGAGACACGGUCCAGACUCCUACGGGAGGCAGCAGUAGGGAAUAUUCCGCAAUGGGCGAAAGCCUGACGGAGCAACGCCGCGUGAGUGAUGAAGGUCUUCGGAUCGUAAAACUCUGUUAUUAGGGAAGAACAAAUGUGUAAGUAACUAUGCACGUCUUGACGGUACCUAAUCAGAAAGCCACGGCUAACUACGUG
rnacentral:rRNA from 1 species